CCGUUUUGUCAUACCACCCUGAAUGCGCCCGAUCUCUUCUGAUCUCGGAAGCUAAGCAGGGUCGGGCCUGGUUCGUACUUGGAUGGGAGAAAUCUCCACUUUAAAGGCCAAUGCAGGAAAUAUAGGAGGCACAGU
ensembl:rRNA 5S_rRNA 5S ribosomal RNA